rnacentral:rRNA from 1 species
UCCGGUUGAUCCUGCCGGACCUGACUGCUAUCGGAUUGAUACUAAGCCAUGCGAGUCAUUGUAGCAAUACAAGGCAUACGGCUCAGUAACGCGUAGUCAACCUAACCUAUGGACGGGAAUAACCUCGGGAAACUGAGAAUGAUGCCCGAUAGAACACUAUACCUGGAAUGGUUUGUGUUCCAAAUGAUUUAUCGCCAUAGGAUGGGACUGCGGCCUAUCAGUUUGUUGGUGAGGUAAUGGCCACCAAGACUAUUACAGGUACGGGCUCUGAGAGGAGUAGCCCGGAGAUGGGUACUGAGACACGGACCCAGGCCCUAUGGGGCGCAGCAGGCGAGAAAACUUUGCAAUGUGCGAAAGCACGACAAGGUUAACCCGAGUGAUUUGUGCUAAACGAAUCUUUCGUUAGUCCUAGAAACACUAACGAAUAAGGGGUGGGCAAGUUCUGGUGUCAGCCGCCGCGGUAAAACCAGCACCUCAAGUGGUCAGGAUGAUUAUUGGGCCUAAAGCAUCCGUAGCCGGCUCUGUAAGUUUUCGGUUAAAUCUGUACGCUUAACGUACAGGCUGCCGGGAAUACUGCAAAGCUAGGGAGUGGGAGAGGUAGACGGUACUCGGUAGGAAGUGGUAAAAUGCUUUGAUCUAUCGAUGACCACCUGUGGCGAAGGCGGUCUACCAGAACACGUCCGACGGUGAGGGAUGAAAGCUGGGGGAGCAAACCGGAUUAGAUACCCGGGUAGUCCCAGCUGUAAACUAUGCAAACUCAGUGAUGCAUUGGCUUGUGGCCAAUGCAGUGCUGCAGGGAAGCCGUUAAGUUUGCCGCCUGGGAAGUACGUACGCAAGUAUGAAACUUAAAGGAAUUGGCGGGGGAGCACCACAAGGGGUGAAGCCUGCGGUUCAAUUGGAUUCAACGCCGGA